AAAACGCCGCGCGUCCGACAGGUUAUUCUCUCACGGUGGAUGACAUCGCGCAUGCACGCGAUACGCUCGGAUGCAAAAUUGCCGCGAGAUCGAGCGGCAGGUAUGCAGCUGCAGUCGCCCCGAAAUAGGGUGCCCCUUAACGCCAUACGCAGUUAAGAUAACUGCGAUGAUUGAAUACCGAAUAUUAAGAAGGCAGCUUAAGCAGCAGCCCUUCUUACGUAAAAAAGUGUCGGUGAUACUAUAAAAAAGAACGCGGCUCCCGUUACGGACUUCAGGAAUUUUUGCUCAGUCGUUCGCUCGAGCUAUCAGAGCUGGAUAAUGCGCAGAGGCGCAUAAUGCCGGGCCGUUAUCUGUCCUUUCAAUGUACCCCGUAUCUCCUCUGGCUCUGGUUUCAAAACCCCCUCGGGAGGGCCGCGUCGUCUGGAAUAUCCCAAAGAGGGUUACGAGCGAAUGAACGAGCGUGCCUAUCCACCGUGACCGUUGGCGAUAGGAUAAGCGGCGCCCUGGACUUCCUACAUCGCUUUAAAAUUACCCGGCUACAGGACGAGAACAAUUAGCAUUGCCUACGUACGCGCGCGCCCGCGGAAGAAACGAUGAGAUAGCCCGUUAUCGCUGCCUACGUCGCGAAUCGCGGCGCUCGUCGAUAUACGCAUACGCACUGCGGCAUAAUCGGUCCUUGACUCGGCAAAACUGAGAAAAUAAAUUUAAAUUAUAGUAUAACAGAAAAUACAGAGGUACGCCGUGAAGACUGUAGUAAUUAAAAAAAAAAAUUAAUCUACUUGUGCAAGUCCGACGAUUACAAAGCGAUAAAGAUAUUAAAUUAUAACUUGAAAAAAUUUUAUUCAAAUUUAAUUUUAAAUUGGUAAAUUAUACACAUUAAUACGUUAAUUAUUAAAUCAAUUAAUCGUCACUUUUACAACAGCGCGCUUUAGUUAUGCUUCCAAUUUGCGCGAAUGCAAUGACUGGCGUUCCAUAUUGGCGUUAUUGCCAUCGGGAUGGCUCUGACCUUUCGCCGGCGUGGUGGCG